rnacentral:hammerhead_ribozyme from 1 species
GCACUGUUGACGAGUCCCAAACAGGGCAAAACAGAUGUCCAGUGC